rnacentral:RNase_P_RNA from 1 species
GUGGGUGGAAGCUCAUUGUAGAGGUCACAACCAGAGUGCUCGUCACUCAACCAAUCACCUCGGGGAAGGUCUGAGACAAGAGCCAAUAGUUACCCUAGCAGGGUAUCACCUGAUGUGGGUGAGCGAGUGAACAGAAAUAAUGGGCCAUAGCGUGCACGUUCUCACAGGAGAAGCCAGGGGGAGCAACUUCUCAGCUCCUCAGGUGGAUGUGGUGCACGCCGGCUUGGAAUCACCCGCGGCUGGCAAAUAGAGUGCGAUGUAUGAGGUGGGGUACAUCCCCAGAACCCAAUUCAGACUACUCUCCACCCAC